UACUGCAGUCAUUAUCAUCAGUGGUUUGCAAGAAUUCCUCUACAUCAGAACUGCUUUAUGAAAGGUGGCUGCAGACUUCCAUUAAAAAUUAUUUUUUAAGUCUCUCUGUCAUGGGAUUUCUACUUGCCUCUUGGUCAGACAUAAUGGAAAGUGUCAGACAGAUUAAAAUCUCACGUGGACAGUGAACAGGCUCAGAUUACUGCAGUGCUUUCUGCAGUGAUUUACUUUUUCACUGCCUUGAUGAUUUAUUCUGUUCCUUAUAAGAAGAUUGGACUUCAUAGUAACUUACAAUGAAGAAAUAUGGAGAUACCAAAAGUAGGAAGGAUUUGAAACAGUAGAAUACCUGCUGGAAAAAAGCUGCUCACACCGAUCCCAACCGAGCUGGGAACUGUCAGCUUCAGAAGCGUCAGCAGAAUCUGGGAAUCAUACAGCCUGAGAGCUUGCUCAAGAUGGGCCAACUGGCCACCAAGACUAGCUUUGUAAAGGAUUCUGUUUUCUGAGCUGAAUCUGCACACAUUUCCAAUUCCAGCCCAUGGGAGUUGCCAUGGUUUGCAUGUCAUCGCAAAAAUCUAUCUGAGGAAUGUCAUCUGCACUUGAGGGAAGGACAAGCAUUGUAAUUAAGUAUUAAGCCAUUUCACCAGUAUGAAUCUGCCACGAAGUGUGAAAUGGCUAUUAUUCACAUUUUAAGACCUCGCAUUUAUUAGCAUCUAUUUUCUACCCAAGGUUAGCAGCAUGCUGCACAGUGUUAAAAAAAGCAAAAAACAGUUUACAUUUUUGUUAUUCAAAUGGAUGCCUGUGUCUGUCUGACUGUACACAGAUUGCUAGCAUCAAUUGGGCUUCUCUCAGGUCCCAGAGGACUUCUGGCCUGCACACCUUUGUGAGCAGCAUUGGAAGGGAUGCUCUGAUUAUGGAACAAGUGAUAUUCAGCUGCUGAAAUGUAAUGACAACCACAGGUGCAACACACCUUGGCAGGACACUGAUCCUGUGUACACAAAAGAUAUUCAGCCUGAGAUAACAAGCAGGAUUGAUGAUUAAUACCUCCCAGAAAAAGAUUUUGUUUGCAUUAGGAAACACUUGCAGAAUAAAUGCAGACAGCAAAUAAUGAUCCAGCCUGUACUGUUGUAUGCAGGGGGCAGCAGAAAAUUCCCUGGUCUAACUAGAGAAAGGCAAUGAGCACACACUUGCUAUUUUGCUGCUCAAUUAUAUACAUAAGGAGAGGAAUCCUGUGCAUCCUCCAGCCAGAAAUGAGAGAUUUCCACUGCUCUCUACCUUAUACACCAUGCCAUUUGGCAGCAGUUUAAUUUAGAAAUCUGCCCCUUCCUGCCCUAUUCUCACACUUCUACUUUCAGUUAUGGGCCAUGUAGCUCUGGAAGAUGCUCCUGCAUCCACAGACCUGCACUUACACACUGGUGCAUCCAAAAAGAGCCCCAUAGCUGACCACAGACUGUUCAAUCACAAAUUCCAGCUACUUUCUUUUGUAGUUUGAGCCUAUCUCAUUUUUUACUCCAGCAAUUUAAACACCCUUAUGCCAAACUCACCUUCCCACUAAGAUGGCCUUCACUGUCCACCAGCCCUUCUUGAAAAGCAUCUGCCUGUCAGUGGGCAGCUCCUGUUAGCAGCACAGUGAGCAGGGCCAUGCCAUGAUUUAUACAGCUGGGAUAAGUCAGCAAAGCUCUGUCAGUGCCUCUGUCAUUUGCCAGGUGUGUGCCUGAUUAUCUGAUCCAUAUCUAGGCACCACCUGCUAAAAAUAGGGAAGGAAAGAACACUAAGAGCUAAAUCCCAUAUCUUGUGCUGGGAGGGAAAGAGUGAUAGUCAUUAAGAGCAGAUAUGAUGUAGCAAUAAGAGGGAGCAGCAAGACUCCUCUGCAACAGUUCUAUUUUAACACAAGGAAAACACCUGCAAUCAUCUGCCUCCUUAACUCCAAGCCUUCUAUCAAAUGCAUUGUAUGAAGUGCUCAAUAUAUCAUCCAUAAGAAGCCUCAUGGAAAGACUCCCUUUGACCUGGGGCUGUGGUUUGUCUGCUCUAACAGACAAAUGGCCAGCAGCAAGAAGGCAUGUCAACAGCAGGAAAGGCCACAGCAAACAGCUGUGAAGCAAUCACGAGUUCUGCUCUGAGGAAGUCACAUUCAACAUCAAGUGCUUCAAGAAAUGUUACCUGUCAUGAGAAAAUCGUCAGAUCACAUGUGGAAUCCUAGAUUAGCACAUCAGGAGUGACAAGAACUUCUGCCUUUCAAACAAACCUCACAAGGGCCCACUCAAACUAGCUUGAAGUUUAGAAACUAGGAACCUCUCCUCUCAUUCCAGCUGUAUACACAAAGGAAGGCACUGGCUUGGUGAGGACAAUUCUAGAAAUCCUGCCCUCUUAAAUCACUAUUACAUUUUGUUACAAAACAUGGAAAGUAAAACCCACCUCAAGGCAAAAGCAUGUUGUUUUGAAGCUGGUAAAAUUCUACCAGAAUUAUUACAUUUGCACCAGUAAAACAAAGAGAAGAACAGCUACUGUAAUGCUACAACAUGAUGGCAACUACAGCAACAAUAGCAGUGGAACAGCCCUAGGCUGCAGCAACUAAGAACAAGCCCAAAUGCAACAACCACGGAUGCAGAAACAGAGGAAGAAAAACUGCUUACCUUCAGCAGGCCUCAAGUAGGCAGGGACCUCCAGCAAAACCCCCUUAUCUCCACUGCCAGCCCUUAAAUGGGGUCUGGUAAGGGAUGAA